rnacentral:rRNA from 1 species
AGUGAACGCUGGCGGUAGGCCUAACACAUGCAAGUCGAACGGCAGCACAGUAAGAGCUUGCUCUUACGGGUGGCGAGUGGCGGACGGGUGAGGAAUACAUCGGAAUCUACUUUUUCGUGGGGGAUAACGUAGGGAAACUUACGCUAAUACCGCAUACGACCUACGGGUGAAAGCAGGGGAUCUUCGGACCUUGCGCGAUUGAAUGAGCCGAUGUCGGAUUAGCUAGUUGGCGGGGUAAAGGCCCACCAAGGCGACGAUCCGUAGCUGGUCUGAGAGGAUGAUCAGCCACACUGGAACUGGAACACGGUCCAGACUCCUACGAGAGGCAGCAGUGGGGAAUAUUGGACAAUGGGCGCAAGCCUGAUCCAGCCAUACCGCGUGGGUGAAGAAGGCCUUCGGGUUGUAAAGCCCUUUUGUUGGGAAAGAAAAGCAGCAGGUUAAUACCCCGCUGUUCUGACGGUACCCAAAGAAUAAGCACCGGCUAACUUCGUG